ensembl:lncRNA
GUGGGGAAAUUAACAAGAUGGCACCAGUCAGGCUCUCUCACCCCACGCUCUCAUGCCCUCUAGCCCCACGUUACUGUAAACAAUGACAUUGCACGGUUAUGUAACAGUUGAGAUCGCUUAUAGCUCUGCGCACAUGCAUCACGAGGUACUCACUUGGCAACGGGCUACUUUCCUUCCGUAAGUAUAUAUAAGCUCCACCAGGAAAAGCCCUGAGGGUUGUGUGCUGGUUGUUGCAUUAUGUUAUGUCUGCUGCUAUGGCUCCUGCGCUAGCCAGCAGAGAAUAAGCGCGUCCGCAGUUCCUGCGGCUCCUUGCACUUUCUUCCAACGUCUUGGCUCACACCUCGCCUACCGUGCGUCCAGCGAACAUUGCGCGGUGAGAUAGACAGUUGGCGCUGUGAACUGCAUCAGCAAGACAGCUGCCAUCAUGAACAGAAACGUCCUGGUCAGAGACUGCUGCCCCAGCCUGGGUUUCAGAAUGGAGAUGCCAUGAAGCAGAGCAGCUGGCCACAUGGAGAGAGAAACAAGUCAGAUAGAAACUGUUGCUACGAUGACGACACCAAGACUGCCGACUGGUCUAGUCUGUGACUCACCCAGGACCAGGCCCCAGGCCAGUGCUCGGGACUCCCCAGGCUGGGCAGAAGAGCAUGAGGGGUCUCCACCCACCUGCUCCUUGGUAUGCCUCUGCCCUGGCAGGGCAGCCCCUUCUUCUGGCCGGCUCUUGACUCUCCUGGGUGCAAUGCCCUUGGAGCAACCCUCAGAGGUUCCUAUCACUCUCCUACCUCCUGCCCCCCUCGCCAAAAACUUAUUAAGCAGUCGCCUGUCACCUCUACCUUAAUAA